ACUCGACUCCGUGAAGCUGGAUUCGCUAGUAAUCGCGCAUCAGCCAUGGCGCGGUGAAUACGUUCCCGGGCCUUGUACACACCGCCCGUCAAGCCAUGGGAGCCGGGGUACCUGAAGUCCGUAACCGCGAGGAUCGGCCUAGGGUAAAACUGGUGACUGGGCUAAGUCGUAACAAGGUACC
rnacentral:rRNA from 1 species